rnacentral:tRNA from 1 species
GCCGGAGUGGCGGAACUGGCAGACGCACAGGACUUAAAAUCCUGCGGUCCCUCAAGAUCGUACCGGUUCGAUUCCGGUCUCCGGCA